rnacentral:rRNA from 1 species
UACGUAGGGUGCGAGCGUUGUCCGGAAUUAUUGGGCGUAAAGAGUUCGUAGGCGGUUUGUCGCGUCUGCCGUGAAAGUCCGGGGCUCAACUCCGGAUCUGCGGUGGGUACGGGCAGACUAGAGUGAUGUAGGGGAGACUGGAAUUCCUGGUGUAGCGGUGAAAUGCGCAGAUAUCAGGAGGAACACCGAUGGCGAAGGCAGGUCUCUGGGCAUUAACUGACGCUGAGGAGCGAAAGCAUGGGGAGCGAACAGG